AACGAACGCUGGCGGCAUGCCUAACACAUGCAAGUCGAACGAGACCUUCGGGUCUAGUGGCGCACGGGUGCGUAACGCGUGGGAAUCUGCCCUUGGGUUCGGAAUAACAGUUGGAAACGACUGCUAAUACCGGAUGAUGACGUAAGUCCAAAGAUUUAUCGCCCAAGGAUGAGCCCGCGUAGGAGUAGCUAGUUGGUGAGGUAAAGGCUCACCAAGGCGACGAUCCUUAGCUGGUCUGAGAGGAUGAUCAGCCACACUGGGACUGAGACACGGCCCAGACUCCUACGGGAGGCAGCAGUGGGGAAUAUUGGACAAUGGGCGAAAGCCUGAUCCAGCAAUGCCGCGUGAGUGAUGAAGGCCUUAGGGUUGUAAAGCUCUUUUACCCGGGAUGAUAAUGACAGUACCGGGAGAAUAAGCUCCGGCUAACUCCGUG
rnacentral:rRNA from 1 species